UCGAAGUUGGACCUACCUAGUUGGAUAGU
rnacentral:sRNA from 1 species